rnacentral:rRNA from 1 species
AAAGGAAUAGACGGGGGCCCGCACAAGCGGUGGAGCAUGUGGUUUAAUUCGAUGCAACGCGAAGAACCUUACCAGGUCUUGACAUCCCCCUGACAGCUGCAGAGAUGCAGUCUCUCUUCGGAGCAGGGGAGACAGGUGGUGCAUGGCUGUCGUCAGCUCGUGUCGUGAGAUGUUGGGUUAAGUCCCGCAACGAGCGCAACCCCCAUCCUUAGUUGCCAACAGGUAAAGCUGGGGACUCUAGGGAGACUGCCGGUGACAAACCGGAGGAAGGUGGGGAUGACGUCAAGUCAUCAUGCCCCUUAUGACCUGGGCUACACACGUGCUACAAUGGCCGGUACAGAGCGCAGCGAAGCUGUGAAGCGGAGCGAAUCGCAAAAAGCCGGUCUCAGUUCGGAUCGGAGGCUGCAACUCGCCUCCGUGAAGUCGGAAUCGCUAGUAAUCUCGGGUCAGCAUACCGAGGUGAAUACGUUCCCGGGCCUUGUACACACCGCCCGU